ACGAGUUAGGGUCUACUCAGGCCCGACCUCCCAACCCUGUGUUUAUCGAACUUUUGUGUUGCUUCGGCGGGCCCGUCCCCCCUUUCUUCAGGGGGAGACCGCCGGAGGUUCACCGUCCCGGUGUCCUCUGGCCCGCGCCCGCCGGUGGCCCAUACCUACAACUUCUGUAUGAAUCGUGUCUCGAUCGUUGUCUAAGUACACAAUAAAUACAAAAGCA
rnacentral:misc_RNA from 1 species